UUUGUGUGAGACAGGUGCGCGGCGUUUUAUAGCGUUUUCUCGGGCAAAAUGCCCGGGUGUUGCGUGCCACAGUGCACAAACCACUCGCGAAAUGGCUAUAGGAUGUUCAGAUUUCCGAAAGAUCCGAAAAGACGACUCCUGUGGCUGGUAAAGAUCAAGCGCGACAAGUGGCAACCCACGGACCGUUCGUGUUUGUGCAGCGGACAUUUCGAAGAAACCGCAUUUGAGCAGAACCGUGCGGACGGCUGGAAAAAAUUGAAGCCGAAUGCUCUGCCAACAAUCUUUUCGUUCAGAGCGAUGCCUAAGCACAGGAAGCCACCAAAAGAAAGGUUUUUACCACAAGGGACGCCUGCGGCCGCAGA